rnacentral:lncRNA from 1 species
GAGGAACUAUUAUUUACUAGAAAAAACAAGUUAACUUUACAAAGAAAACGAAAUCAAAAUUGUGCAACUAAUUCAACCAUCUACGGUGCAAAAAGAGAGGAUUUUCAACAAACCCAUCAAGAAUUAGUCUCUCUCUUUAGAAAAUUCAAUUUCUUGGUCAAGAAAAGCACUAUGCAUUGCUGCAAAGGCCAUACCAAACACAAAGAAGAAAAUCUAAUAUAGUGGAGAAAAAAAUCAUGAGAAGUGAUCCAAGAAUCUCAGCCUUCUUACCGAAUGGAGCAAUUGAAAAGGUGAUUUUCACAGAACAUAGUCUCUCCAAUCCCCCUAUCUUUCUUCCCGAUGGCCCAGCUGGAUCAGGAGUAACGUGAGGGAAAGAAAAC